UACGGGGGGAGCAAGCGUUGUUCGGAUUUACGUGGGCGUAAAGGGCGCGUAGGCGGCCCACUGCAAGUCGGUUGUGAAUCUCCGGGCUUAACCCGGAAAGGUCAAUCGAUACUGCAGGGCUAGAGUGCGGAAGGGGCAACUGGAAUUCUCGGUGUAGCGGUGAAAUGCGUAGAUAUCGAGAGGAACACCUGCGGCGAAGGCGGGUUGCUGGGCCGGACACUGACGCUGAAGUGCGAAAGACUAGGGGGAGCGAACGGG
rnacentral:rRNA from 1 species